rnacentral:snRNA from 1 species
GUGCUCGCUUCAGCAGCACAUAUACUAAAAUUGGAACAAUACAGAGAAGAUUAGUAUGGCCCCUGCACAAGGAUGACAUGCAAAUUUGUGAAGUGUUCUAUAUU